UAAUUAGAAAAACGAAAUACAUUAUUAAUUUCCAAAAAAGUAACCUAUUAAAAUCAACAAAUUAGAUUUGAUAUCUAAAUUAUCAUAUUAAUUUUUUAUUAAUUAUUAUAGUUCACUUCUCAUCUUUAUAUGAUUCUAUUUUUGCGAAAAAUAAUAUCAUCAUUAUAAAAAAAUAAUUAGAGUUUUUUCGCAUAUGCCAUAAUUUGAAUUUUUGAAAACGAAUAUAAACUGUUCAAUACAUGAAAAUAUAUUAUAACGGGUGAAAAAUAGAUUUAAGAAAACUUUCUACUGAGUAACGGGUCAUAAUUUGAAAUAUUUAUAUUCAAUUUCAUACAUAUUAUAUUGAAAAUUUAUAAUCUAUAUACUAUAAUAAUUAAUAACAUAUUAGAUUUUUUUAUGUGUAUAAUAUGAUUCAAUUUUUAAUACAAGCUGGAAAAUCCUAUAAUUGACGGGUUUAGAUCGAUAUUAAUACAAGAUGGUAUACUACAGAUGAAACUCUUAAAUUAACAAUCAAACUACAAGUGUAUAAUCUUAAACACUAAACAAUAUAGAUAAUAUCAACAAAACAUAUACAACUCACAUUUUACUUUUAAUAUUUUAUAUACAAAAUCAAUUAAAUCUUAAAUUAAAUCUUAAUCACAUAAAAAUUAGCACAAAAAAAAAUAUUCAACAAUUAAAUUUUUAUCAAAUCUCUGUGUUAUAUAAGUUUUGAUACUAUAUUCGAAUAAAGUGUAAUAUAACUUUUCAGUUUUUAUUCUUUAACUAAUUUAAGCUAACUAAUAUAUUUGCUAAUCUUAUACCUAUCAAAACCGACUAUCGUUUCUUAUCUCUAUAGUAUUUUUGCAAGACUUUUUUGGUGGAUUUGGGUAAAAUUGCAUUCGGGUCAUAUGGUACAUUCCCCUAUUAAAUAAAAAUGGUAUACUCCUAUGUUAUUAGCUAAAAUGUUUAGAUUAUAAUUCAGAGUCAUAUCAUUAAUAAAAUUAAUAUUAAUAAAAUAAAUGGCUUUUUGGCAAGACGGAUUUGGAGUGACGGGUUUUUGAAUCAACAUUAAUAAAAAAGUAAAAUAUAAUUAAUACACCGUUUCAAUAUGGGUUAAAUCUUUAAUUUAUUAUUUUUUAAGACCACUAAUAUUAAACAUAUCAAAUCAUCUUAAUUUAGAAAA
rnacentral:sRNA from 1 species